rnacentral:rRNA from 1 species
GAUGAACGCUAGCUACAGGCUUAACACAUGCAAGUCGAGGGGCAGCAUGGUCUUAGCUUGCUAAGGCCGAUGGCGACCGGCGCACGGGUGAGUAACACGUAUCCAGCCUGCCGUCUACCCUUGGACAGCCUUCUGAAAGGAAGAUUAAUACAAGAUGGCAUCAUGAGUCCGCAUGUUCACAUGAUUAAAGGUAUUCCGGUAGACGAUGGGGAUGCGUUCCAUUAGAUAGUAGGCGGGGUAACGGCCCACCUAGUCUUCGAUGGAUAGGGGUUCUGAGAGGAAGGUCCCCCACAUUGGAACUGAGACACGGUCCAAACUCCUACGGGAGGCAGCAGUGAGGAAUAUUGGUCAAUGGGCGAGAGCCUGAACCAGCCAAGUAGCGUGCAGGAUGACGGCCCUAUGGGUUGUAAACUGCUUUUAUAAGGGAUAAAGUGAGUCUCGUGAGACUUUUUGCAUGUACCUUAUGAAUAAGGACCGGCUAAUUCCGUG